UGAGUAACCUGCCCUUAACUCUGGGAUAAGCCUGGGAAACUGGGUCUAAUACCGGAUAUGACUCCUCAUCGCAUGGUGGGGGGUGAAAAGCUUUAUUGUGGUUUUGGAUGGACUCGCGGCCUAUCAGCUUGUUGGUGGGGUAAUGGCUCACCAAGGCAACGACGGGUAGCUGGUCUGAGAGGAUGGCCAGCCACAUUGGGACUGAGACACGGCCCAGACUCCUACGGGAGG
rnacentral:rRNA from 1 species